GUGCCAGCAGCCGCGGUAAUACGGAGGGUGCAAACGUUGCUCGGAAUCAUUGGGCGUAAAGCGCGCGUAGGCGGCGAAGCAAGUUGGAUGUGAAAGCCCUGGGCUCAACCUAGGAUGUGCAUACAAAACUGCUUCGCUUGAAUCUCGGAGGGGGUCAGGGAAUUCCCGGUGUAGAGGUGAAAUUCGUAGAUAUCGGGAGGAACACCAGUGGCGAAGGCGCUGACCUGGACGAUGAUUGACGCUGAGGCGCGAAAGCGUGGGGAGCAAACAGGAUUAGAUACCCUGGUAGUCC
rnacentral:rRNA from 1 species